AGUGAACGCUGGCGGUAGGCCUAACACAUGCAAGUCGAACGGCAGCACAGUAAGAGCUUGCUCUUACGGGUGGCGAGUGGCGGACGGGUGAGGAAUACAUCGGAAUCUACUUUUUCGUGGGGGAUAACGUAGGGAAACUUACGCUAAUACCGCAUACGACCUACGGGUGAAAGCAGGGGAUCUUCUGACCUUGCGCGAUUGAAUGAGCCGAUGUCGGAUUAGCUAGUUGGCGGGGUAAAGGCCCACCAAGGCGACGAUCCGCAGCUGGUCUGAGAGGAUGAUCAGCCACACUGGAACUGAGACACGGUCCAGACUCCUACGGGAGGCAGCAGUGGGGAAUAUUGGACAAUGGGCGCAAGCCUGAUCCAGCCAUACCGCGUGGGUGAAGAAGGCCUUCGGGUUGUAAAGCCCUUUUGUUGGGAAAGAAAAGCAGCAGGUUAAUACCCCGCUGUUCUGACGGUACCCAAAGAAUAAGCACCGGCUAACUUCGUG
rnacentral:rRNA from 1 species